CGCGUAGGCGGCCCUGCCAGUCUCGGGUGAAAUCUUCCGGCCUAACCGGAAAACGGCCCGGGAUACUGCAGGGCUCGAGCGAGGUAGGGGCGGGGGGAACUUCCGGUGGAGCGGUGAAAUGCGUUGAUAUCGGAAGGAACGCCGGUGGCGAAAGCGCCCCGCUGGACCUCUUCUGACGCUGAGGCGCGAAAGCCAGGGUAGCGAACG
rnacentral:rRNA from 1 species